UACGAUGGCGACCGGCGCACGGGUGAGUAACACGUAUCCAACCUGCCGAUAACUCGGGGAUAGCCUUUCGAAAGAAAGAUUAAUACCCGAUGGUAUAAUAAAGCCGCAUGGUUUAAUUAUUAAAGAAUUUCGGUUAUCGAUGGAGAUGCGUUCCAUUAGGCAGUUGGUGAGGUAACGGCUCACCAAACCUUCGAUGGAUAGGGGUUCUGAGAGGAAGGUCCCCCACAUUGGAACUGAGACACGGUCCAA
rnacentral:rRNA from 1 species